CCUACGGGUGGCAGCAGUGAGGAAUAUUGGUCAAUGGGCUUACGCCUGAACCAGCCAAGUCGCGUGAGGGAAGACUGCCCUAUGGGUUGUAAACCUCUUUUGUCAGGGAGCAAAUGGCGCUACGUGUAGCGUUAUCGAGAGUACCUGAAGAAAAAGCAUCGGCUAACUCCGUGUCAGCAGCCGCGGUAAUACGGAGGAUGCGAGCGUUAUCCGGAUUUAGUGGGUUUAAAGGGUGCGUAGGCGGAAUGCCAAGUCAGCGGUAAAAUCGCGGGGCUCAACCUCGCUCCGCCGUUGAAACUGGCGUUCUUGAGUGGGCGAGAGGUAUGCGGAAUGCGUGGUGAAGCGGUGAAAUGCGUAGAUAUCACGCAGAACUCCGAUUGCGAAGGCAGCAUACCGGCGCCCAACUGACGCUGAAGGACGAAAGCGUGGGUAGCGAACAGGAUUAGAUACCCUUGUAGUC
rnacentral:rRNA from 1 species